rnacentral:lncRNA from 15 species
AUGUGGCAAGUGGCUCAGCGCAGAGAGGUUCUUGAUUAUGAAAAGGUCGACGAGUUUGUGACGCUGGUGACGGCGACUGUUCCAGACCUGCUCAGUCCAAAGCAACGAGGCAAACUGCUCCUUCGACUGAGAGCGAAGGUUAUUCUUGAGCUGUGCAGAAAUGAGGAAACAGCCAAUAUUCUGCGUAUACAGCCUCACCUGGAACGGAUCCGCCCGGCGGGAUACGCUGGAGUAAGUGAGAGCAGUCUGUGUUCACAUAUCAAGCACAGUGGAGUUGGGCCUUGUAGUUACAGUCAGAAUGGAGCUUGUGUCGUUUGGAGAUGGUCCAAGCAGUAACAACGAUAGUGUCUUACAGAGUGGAGAUGCAGAGGUGGACGCAGAGGAGGCCAUUUUUGUGGAGCUCAUCCAAACGCUGCUGAAAGACCCAGCAGAGAGGGAGCAUUUUUACCAGGCAAGGCAGCUUCAUGUAACCAAACCUGGCAUUCUGAAAAGAGUCUUUUUGUGGACCUCACUGGGUUUUUGAGUGACUCUUACCUUUGUUCUUCCCAGGAGGUUUUUCAAACAGAAUAUGGUGUCAGCUAUGACACAGACAUGCAGCUCCUUGUGUGGGAGUUUCUGUCUAAACUGGAAAAACUCCUGCCAGUACCAGACCUCAGUCAGGUAGGAAAUGGCAUCACACUACAGCAGCUGCUGCUUGCAACAUGUUAAAGGAAGUAUUUGAUGAACAGUGGGACAAAAAUGAUUUCAUCGCUUCCCUCCAAACUUUGGAAUGUUUUAACGUUAACAGGUCCUAUUUUUAAAAAGAUUUUGUUGUUUUUUGUGCUGCGUUGUAGUGUACCAAAUAGGCUUUAAUACAGUAACUUUAAAUGCUUCUAUCUUGAUAAGAAAUACUUUAAAUAACAUAGUAUCAUUGAUGUUGUCAUUGGCUGGGUGUGCUCAUAUUAUAUGUAUCAUUACCAGACAUCUGUAUCUACCUAAAAAUGCAGUAUUCAUCAGGCUGUAGUCAUUCAUACUUACAGAUAAUUAUCAUUUUCAGGAGUCACAAUAUUAUAAGAGUCACGGUGGAUGAAAUGUUAUGUGUGUAAGUGUGAAUAAAGCUUUGUUUUGUCACAUUUCAGUCUGCACUUUGUUCUUGCUGAGUUGUCUUCAGUCAAAGCUGGGUCAGCAUUCCUGAGUUUUCUUUUUUUUCCAUAAACAGACGGUUUCGUGGCUGACCUCUGCCCCCUCCGUGCUGAAGGACUGCUUGGAAGCGCUCUCCAGUCCCGACGACCUGAGGUCUCUCCUGCAACACCACAAAUGCCUCGAGCACCUUGGAGCACAAGGUAAACCAGAUAGUCCCUAUAAAACAUCUACUCAUUUCAUGUGAACAGAGUUGACAGGAUGUUUUCCCUGUGGGUGGGCUUAUAUUCCCGUCAGUAUUAAACAUGUUUGAUAUUCGUGAAGCUUUGUCAGUUGUGUUAGUGUGGACAGUAACAUUUCACAGGGUUCCCACACAUCCUGGAAGUUUAGAGACUAGUUUUCUAGUCAUAGAAACAGCUGGAAAUUGAUUAAAAUGAUCAAACUUGCACCAAUCUUUUCCACUUCCAGUCUGUUUUUUACAGAGCCGCCAUCAGAAUUCUCAUUAAAGCCCACUGGAAGGAAUUCUGGUUGCUGUGGUUAAUAAAUUUACGCAAAGCAAUGUUAAUUGUGCAUGCAACAAACACCCUCUACUCCUUAUUUUUAUUGGCUGACAGGUGAGAAGCUGAAUGUUCUGUAAAAUAAAAUAACAUAAUUUGUUACUUAUGGGCUGUGGCCAAAGUCAUGUCACUGUAACAUGUAGUUACAAAACUAAAACUGUAGUCAGUUCUAGUGUACCUAUGAUGAGAACGGCCAAGUGCACCGCAAAAGCAAAUUAAUAUGAUAAGUGUCUCAUAAACACUGACCAGCUGCCUGUAAUGGACCAGAGGCAUCAUUGAAAAGGGAGGAAUGAAACUGGAGUUAAAUGUGUUAAUACUAGACCGACUGGUAAAUUGUAUGUCCGUCUCACUUUGAAACGUAUUUAUGGGAAAAUGGGUUGAAUUGAAUUGUUGUAACAACUACAAAACAACACCAACAUGGAACCAAUAUUGCUUUUCCUGAUUAUUGUUUUUUUUUUUGUAAUUUAAGUUUUUAUUUAUAAACACGGUACAUAGCUCAUUGGGUACAGUUUACAUACAUAAAAAGGUCAGACAAAAAAAUAACUAACUGGUUAGGUGUUCCUGGUUAAAAGAAAAAAAGUACAAAAUUACAGAGGUACAGGAUUACAAACAAACAGCCUACUAGUUAGAGGUCAGGUAGUCCAUAAAGUAAUCCCAGCUUCCUCGAACCACAGGUCCCCUGCCCCUUAUUCUUGCCAACAUAAUCUCACAUGAUGCUGUUUCACUCAUCAAAGCUUUCCACUUGUUAAAUGUUGGGAUAGUGGAUGCUUUCCAAUGUCUCAGAAUAAUUCUGGCAGCUGAGGUUGUCCCCACCAUCAACACUGAAUGAACGCUUUUGGUCAAUUUUGGAAUUUCUGUUUUAUCUCCCAUAAGGCAAAGACGUGGGGAUAAGGGCAAGGAUAUUCCUACCCACGUCUCUAAGAAUUUCAAUACACUUUGCCAAAAUGAGUUAACCGUAGAACAUUCCCAUAUGAGAUGUAUGAAUGUGCCCAUCUCUGUCUUGCAAUUCCAGCAUGUGUUGGUACUUAUUAGUCCUACUUUGAAAAGCCUACAUGGUGUCCAGUAAUACCGGUGUAAAAUUUUAUAUUGAGUGAAUUUAACUGUACCAUUAUCAGCCACAAUUUGUUUCCAUGUAUCUUCAUCAAUCUGACAAUUAAGGUCUCUCUGCCAGAUUAACCUCAAAUUGUUACAUGAGCUGCUGGUUAAAUAAAUUGAAUUAGUGUUGAAUGUUGAUGCUUUAUGGUUAGGUGGGUUUUGGAGAUAGUCAACUAUUGGGUUGUUGGUUUCAUUCGGUUGACACUUCUUCAUUAAGCAAUGUCUAACCUGCAAGUAUUUCCAAAAAUCACUCUUCUCUUGCAAAUUGUAUUCUUGGGCUAAUUCAACAAAUGACUUAAUUAUACCAUCUUUAUAGAGAUUGCUUAUUGUGUGUAUUCCAUUAUCUAAUCAUCUUCUCCAAAAUGUUCUUUGUUUCCCUAUUUUUACUUCUGGGUUUAACCAAAGUGAGGCAUAUUGCUGUUUGCAAUGUGAGAUCUUGUGGAUUUUAUGAACUUUUGCCCAAACCUCCCAAGAGUGUUGAAUAAUUGGAUUAUAAUCUCUCUGUUUAUCCUUUGACUGCUGGGUUAUCACACACAUAGGGUGGAAUGGCAUGGCAAGAGCCUUUUCUUUUUGAGCCACUGUUUGAGCCACUGUUUGAAACGCCCAUCCAUCUGGGCAGGUUUAAAAUCUUUGUCAUGUGCCACCCAUCGUAAUAUUUUGAUGUGAUUUUCCAGUUUGUUUUUACGACAUUCUGCAAACCACAUGUUUAGGGGUGUUUUUGUCCAACCAAUUAAAUUUUGCUUAUGCAGUAAGUAUAGAUUUCUGUCUCCAAGCAAGCUCUGGAGGGGAAUGUCCAGUUCGCUUAAUUCUAGAUUUUUCCAUUUAGCAUUGUAAUAUGGGUUGCACAGAUAAAUCAGAUAUCUGAGUUGUGCAGAUUUGUAAUAGUUCACUGUGUUUGGCAAAGAUAAUCCUCCUUCUACCAGAGCCUUUUCAAUAGCAGCCCAUUCUAAACCAUCCACUGUCCCACUCCAGAGUUUGGAUAGCUAUCUUGGCCAUUUCAAAUGACCAGCUAUAUAGUCUAACAUCAGGUAAAACAAGCCCGCCUUUAUCUUUGGGUGCAUGCAUUUUGCUCAACUUAAAUCUGGGCUUGCUUCCAGCCCAUAGAAAGUCUUUAAUGAGACUAUCGUACUUUUUAAAAUUGUGAUCAUUUUUCAGUUCGGCAGUGGUCUCUUUGAUCGUUGACACUUUCAAAGCCAAUGUAUGCAGUUGGCACUCAUUUUACUCACUUCAGUAAAGAGAGUUUCCAGGCUAUUAUUCUGCUCAUGACGCUUCAGGCUAGCAUCACUAGAGUCUGCUGCAGGCUUUCUAAAAUAUUUUGAGGUAGCAAUUUCUGUGCUUCAGAUGAUGAGAAGUAACAACGGAGUGUUCUUAAACACAAAGAUGUCGAAAAUUAUUGAGAAAUGAACGAAUGAAUUUACAUUAAUUUGGUGGGACAACUUCUAAUGUGCAGCCAUCUUGUUCGGCGCUCCCACGUGACUCCUUUCCUGAUUAUUCUUAAUACUUUUCUGCCUGUAUGGACAUAAAUAGGUCUUAAACUGCAUUCAUAAUAGUCUUUAGAAAGUCUUAAAUUGAACCUGUUGAAACAUGCAGAAACCUUGACUUGUCUGCCAAAAGAAACAGAAACUUCUGUCUAACCACACAGUUAGACACACAG